rnacentral:tRNA from 1 species
CCGGCUCGACUCCAUGGCAAGAGCGUCCGCUACGGCGGAAGGUCGCGGGUUCAAAGCCCGCCGGUCCA